ensembl:snRNA U6 U6 spliceosomal RNA
GUGUUCACUUUGGCAGCACGUACAUACACUAAAAUCAGACCAAUACAGAGAUUAGCAUGACCCAGACACAAGGAUGACACACAAGCUCAUGACACUUUCCAUGUUUUU